rnacentral:rRNA from 1 species
CCUUGACAUACUAAGAACUUUCCAGAGAUGGAUUGGUGCCUUCGGGAACUUAGAUACAGGUGCUGCAUGGCUGUCGUCAGCUCGUGUCGUGAGAUGUUGGUUAAGUCCCGNAACGAGCGCAACCCUUUUCCUUAUUUGCCAGCGGGUCAUGCCGGGAACUUUAAGGAUACUGCCAGUGACAAACUGGAGGAAGGCGGGGACGACGUCAAGUCAUCAUGGCCCUUACGGCCAGGGCUACACACGUGCUACAAUGGUCGGUACAAAGGGUUGCUACCUCGCGAGAGGAUGCUAAUCUCAAAAAGCCGAUCGUAGUCCGGAUCGCAGUCUGCAACUCGACUGCGUGAAGUCGGAAUCGCUAGUAAUCGCGGAUCAGAAUGCCGCGGUGAAUACGUUCCCGGGCCUCGUACACACCGCCCGUCACACCAUGGGAGUUUGUUGCACCAGAAGUAGGUAGUCUAACCGCAAGGAGGACGCUUACCACGGUGUGGCCGAUGACUGGGGUGAAGUCGUAACAAGGUAAGCGUAGAUGA